rnacentral:rRNA from 1 species
AUUGGACGCUGGCGGAAUGCUUUACACAUGCAAGUCGAACGGCAGCACGGACUUCGGUCUGGUGGCGAGUGGCGAACGGGUGAGUAAUGUAUCGGAACGUGCCCAGUCGUGGGGGAUAACAUAGUGAAAAUUACGCUAAUACCGCAUACGAUCUAUGGAUGAAAGCGGGGGACCGCAAGACCCCGCGCGAUUGGAGCGGCCGAUAACAGAUUAGGUAGUUGGUGGGGUAAAGGCCCACCAAGCCAACGAUCUGUAGCUGGUCUGAGAGGACGACCAGCCACACUGGAACUGAGACACGGUCCGGACUCCUACGGGAGGCAGCAGUGGGGAAUUUUGGACAAUGGGCGAAAGCCUGAUCCAGCCAUUCCGCGUGCAGGAUGAAGGCCCUCGGGUUGUAAACUGCUUUUGUACAGAACGAAAAGGUUUCUACUAAUACUAGGAGCUCAUGACGGUACUGUAAGAAUAAGCACCGGCUAACUACGUGCCAGCAGCCGCAGUAA